rnacentral:rRNA from 2 species
GCUGGCGGCAGGCUUAACACAUGCAAGUCGAGCGCCCCGCAAGGGGAGCGGCAGACGGGUGAGUAACGCGUGGGAAUCUACCUUUUGCUACGGAAUAACGCAGGGAAACUUGUGCUAAUACCGUAUGUGUCCUUCGGGAGAAAGAUUUAUCGGCAAGAGAUGAGCCCGCGUUGGAUUAGCUAGUUGGUGGGGUAAAGGCCUACCAAGGCGACGAUCCAUAGCUGGUCUGAGAGGAUGAUCAGCCACAUUGGGACUGAGACACGGCCCAAACUCCUACGGGAGGCAGCAGUGGGGAAUAUUGGACAAUGGGCGCAAGCCUGAUCCAGCCAUGCCGCGUGAGUGAUGAAGGCCCUAGGGUUGUAAAGCUCUUUCACCGGAGAAGAUAAUGACGGUAUCCGGAGAAGAAGCCCCGGCUAACUUCGUGCCAGCCGCCGCGGUAA